UCGAUUAAGCUUGAUUUAGUUGCUAAUUUAUUUUUUUUAUUUUUAUUUAGUUUUAUUAUUGAAAUAUCUUUUAGUUAUUGUAAUGAUUAAUGAUUUAAUUAUUUUUGUGAUAGUUAAUUUUGUACUGUAAGGGUUUAUAUUGAGUAACUUUUGGUAAGUAUAUUUUAUUUAUUGUACCUUGUGUAUCAGGGUUUAUUAAAAUUUAUAUUUAUUUUUAGUCUUCUCGAUUUUAAAAGAGUUAAUAAAUUAUUUUGGUUAUUGUUGAAAAUAUAUCAAUAAUAUUUAUUGGUGGUGAAAUGUUAUUCGAUUUUAAUGGUAUCUAGUUCCUUGAGAAAUAAAUUAAAUUUAUGUUUAAUUUACUAAUAAUUAUUUUUAUGAUUUUGUGUUUGAAUUAAUUCAAUUAUUUUAGGGGAUUAUCUUUAAAGUAAAAUUUUAUAAUUAAUUUAUAUUUUUAUUUUGUUGGGUUUAGAAAUAAUUAUACUUAUAAGUAUGUUGAAAUUUGUCUAUAAUUUAUUAUGUUUUUAUUAUGGUGAUUUAAAUUUUUUAUUGAGGUGAUUUAAUUAAUUUUAUCUUAUUUGUGUUUAUAAUGGAAUUAGUAUAAUUUUUGUUAUUGGUUAAGAAUUUGUUUGAUAAUUUAUUAUUAGGAACUCGGCAAAUUUAUUGUUCAUUUGUUUAACAAAAACAUUUUUUCUUGGGUUUAAGUAAGAGAUAUAGCCUGCCCACUGAUUAUUUGAAGGGCCGCGGUAUUUUGACCGUGCAAAGGUAGCAUAAUCAUUAGUUUUUUAAUUGUAAACUGGAAUGAAUGGCUGGAUGAGAUGAUAACUUUCUUAUAAUUAAUUUAUUGUAAUUUAACUUUUGGAUUAAAAGGUCUAAAUAUUUUUAUUUGACGAGAAGACCCUAUAGAAUUUAAUAGUUGAUAAUUUGUUAAAGUGUUUGUUGGAUUAAUAAUAAGUUUAUAAUUAUUUGGUUGGGGAGACAGUGAAAAUUAGCUAACUUUCACUUAAUUAUUUUUACUGAUUUGUAUGUAUUGGAUCCAGUAUUGUUGAUUGUAAGACUAAAUUACCUUAGGGAUAACAGCGUAAUCUUCUUGGAGAGUUCUAAUCGAUAAGAGGGAUUGCGACCUCGAUGUUGGAUUUAAAAUGAAUUGUUGGUGAAGAAUUUAAUGUGAUUAGGUCUGUUCGACCUUUAAAAUUUUACAUGAUCUGAGUUCAAAUCGGCGUGAGCCAGGUUGGUUUCUAUCUAUAAUUUUUUUUAAUACUUUAGUACGAAAGGACCAGGUAUUUUUAAUAAUUUUUAUUGGAUAUUUGAUUAUUUAAUUUUGAUUACUUUGGCAGAUAAGUGCAAUGGGUUUAGAAUUCAUAAAUA
rnacentral:rRNA from 1 species